rnacentral:rRNA from 1 species
CCUACGGGAGACAGCAGUGAGGAAUAUUGGUCAAUGGACGAGAGUCUGAACCAGCCAAGUAGCGUGAAGGAUGACUGCCCUAUGGGUUGUAAACUUCUUUUAUAUGGGAAUAAAAUGUUCCACGUGUGGGAUUUUGUAUGUACCAUAUGAAUAAGGAUCGGCUAACUCCGUGCCAGCAGCCACGGUAAUACGGAGGAUCCGAGCGUUAUCCGGAUUUAGUGGGUUUAAAGGGAGCGUAGGUGGAUUGUUAAGUCAGUUGUGAAAGUUUGCGGCUCAACCGUAAAAUUGCAGUUGAAACUGGCAGUCUUGAGUACAGUAGAGGUGGGCGGAAUUCGUGGUGUAGCGGUGAAAUGCUUAGAUAUCACGAAGAACUCCGAUUGCGAAGGCAGCUCACUGGACUGCAACUGACACUGAGGCUCGAAAGUGUGGGUAUCAAACAGGAUUAGAUACCCCUGUAGUC